AGCAGACAGUAUGAAUUUCCCCAUUGAAGAAUGUUUGCCAAACAAGAUGUCCUUAAAGUUCUCGUCUCCCACUGCACUGCCUGGAGAGAGGACAUCUCUUAACCUGAAAGCCAGCCCUGGCUCCUUGUGCUCCGUGCGGGCCAUUGAUCAGAGUGUGCUGCUGUUGAGACCAGAGGCCGAGCUGGAUGCAGCCUCUGUCCUUGGAAUGUUACCAGU